GUGCUCACUUCAGCAGCACAUAUACUAAAAUCGGAAUAAUACAGAGAAGAUUAGCACGGCCCCUGCACAAGCAUAACAUGCAAAUUUGUGAAGCGUUCCGUAUUUUU
rnacentral:snRNA from 1 species